rnacentral:rRNA from 1 species
UUACACAUUGCAAGUCGAGCGGCAGCGCGGGGCAACUGGCGGCGAGCGGCGAACGGGUGAGUAAUGCAUCGGAACAUGUCCAUUCGUGGGGGAUAGCCCGGCGAAAGCCGGAUUAAUACCGCAUACGCCCUGAGGGGGAAAGCGGGGGACCUCGCAAGAGGCCUCGCGCGAAUGGGUUGGCCGAUGUCCGAUUAGCUAGUUGGUGGGGUAAAGGCUUACCAAGGCGAUGAUCGGUAGCUGGUCUGAGAGGAUGAUCAGCCACACUGGGACUGAGACACGGCCCAGACUCCUACGGGAGGCAGCAGUGGGGAAUAUUGGACAAUGGGCGCAAGCCUGAUCCAGCGACGCCGCGUGAGUGAUGAAGGCCUUCGGGUUGUAAAGCUCUGUUGAGGGGAAAGAAAACGGCUGGCGUGAAUAACUCCAGUCCUUGACGGUACCCCUUUAGAAAGCACCGGCUAACUCUGUGGCCAGCAGCCGCGGUAAGACAGAGGGUGCAAACGUUGCUCGGAAUUACUGGGCGUAAAGCGCGUGUAGGCGGACCCGCAAGUCGGACGUGAAAGCCCUGGGGCUCAACCCAGGAACUGCAUCCGAAACUGCGGGU